ACAAAACAUAGCUUUAUGAAAAUUAAUAUAAAGUUUUACCUGCUCAAUGAUUAAAUUAAAUGGCCGCAGUACUUUGACUGUGCUAAGGUAGCAUAAUAAAUUGACUUUUAAUUAAGGUCUGGAAUGAAAGGAUAUAUGAAUAUUUUCUGUCUUUAUAAAAUUAUUAUUAAUUUUCUUAAAAGGUGAAAAUUCCUUUGAAUAAAUUUAAAAGACGAGAAGACCUUAGGAGUUUAAAUAAUAUUUUGUUGGGGCAACAUUAUAGUAGAUAACCUAUAAUAUAAAUAACUAAUAAAACUAAGUGUUUUAAUUUUAAGUAAACUACCCUAGGGAUAACAGCAUAAUCUAUAUUAUAAAUAAGUUUGUGACCUCGAUGUUGGACUAGGGACUGUAAAUAAUAAGUUUAUUUAUUGAUUUGU
rnacentral:rRNA from 1 species